rnacentral:rRNA from 1 species
GAUGAACGCUGGCGGCGUGCCUAAUACAUGCAAGUCGAGCGAACAGAUGAGGAGCUUGCUCCUCUGACGUUAGCGGCGGACGGGUGAGUAACACGUGGAUAACCUACCUAUAAGACUGGGAUAACUUCGGGAAACCGGAGCUAAUACCGGAUAAUAUAUUGAACCGCAUGGUCCAAUAGUGAAAGACGGUUUUGCUGUCACUUAUAGAUGGAUCCGCGCCGCAUUAGCUAGUUGGUAAGGUAACGGCUUACCAAGGCAACGAUGCGUAGCCGACCUGAGAGGGUGAUCGGCCACACUGGAACUGAGACACGGUCCAGACACCUACGGGAGGAAGCAGUAGGGAAUCUUCCGCAAAGGGCGAAAGCCUGACGGAGCAACGCCGCGUGAGUGAUGAAGGUCUUCGGAUCGUAAAACUCUGUUAUUAGGGAAGAACAAAUGUGUAAGUAACUAUGCACGUCUUGACGGUACCUAAUCAGAAAGCCACGGCUAACUACGUG